rnacentral:rRNA from 1 species
GACGAACGCUGGCGGCGUGCCUAAUACAUGCAAGUAGAACGCUGAAGGAGGAGCUUGCUUCUCCGGAUGAGUUGCGAACGGGUGAGUAACGCGUAGGUAACCUGCCUGGUAGCGGGGGAUAACUAUUGGAAACGAUAGCUAAUACCGCAUAACAGUAGAUAUCGCAUGAUAUCUGCUUGAAAGGUGCAAUUGCAUCCCUACCAGAUGGACCUGCGUUGUAUUAGCUAGUUGGUGAGGUAACGGCUCACCAAGGCGACGAUACAUAGCCGACCUGAGAGGGUGAUCGGCCACACUGGGACUGAGACACGGCCCAGACUCCUACGGGAGGCAGCAGUAGGGAAUCUUCGGCAAUGGACGGAAGUCUGACCGAGCAACGCCGCGUGAGUGAAGAAGGUUUUCGGAUCGUAAAGCUCUGUUGUAAGAGAAGAACGAGUGUGAGAGUGGAAAGUUCACACUGUGACGGUAUCUUACCAGAAAGGGACGGCUAACUACGUG